ensembl:lncRNA
CUGGGGGGAAAGUUCCCUGGUGGAAGAGAUGAGGGGUAUGGUGGAGGAGCUGGCGGAGGGGGAGGGUGGUAUCGCUCCACUGCCGCCAUCACCAAAGAAGAGAAUGAAGAGGAGGGUGCGAUUGGCCGACAGUGAGAGGGAGGGGAUGGCCAAGAGAGUGAUGGGGGUGGGAGAAACCUCUGGGUUGCUGCUGGUUUCCCCAGGCCCUCAACUUCUGUUGGGUGGGGACACACCUAACAAGACUCAGGACUGGGUACAGGAGGAGGUGGGGAGUUUUUGUUUGGGGACUCAGCCUCCCCGAUUUUUUUUUUCCAAACCAGCUGCAGCACUGGGGAGGGGAGGAGUGUGGGGGUAGACCCAGGGUGCAGGGCACCCCGGAGCCAAACACUAUUCCUGCAUCCUGGGUUGAUGAGAUGGAGGAAGAGGGGGGGAUGUCGGGAGUACGGAUGGUGUUCUCACCGGUAGAUAUGGAGCAGGGGAGCAUCGGGUGAGUCUCCUGUUUUUGUUUUUUUCUGUCUGGGUUUAGAAUUUGAGUGUAUUACAUGUUUUAAUUUUAUUUUUUCAUGGGGUCUAAUUUUACUUUUGUUAGUUUAAAUGUAAGGAGUUUAAGGGAUUUUGUUAAGAGGAGGGCGGUUUUUAGUUAUUUGGAGGGUGUGGGGUUUGAUUUUUGUUUUUUACAGGAGGUUCACCUGAGGGAUGGAGGGGAUGUUAGUAGGUUUAAGAGGGAGUGGGACAAGGGGGAGUCGGUUUGGGGUAUUGGGGGGGUGCACUCAUCGGGGGUAGGGAUUUUGUGUGGGCACAGGAAGGUAAAAGUGGAGGAUUCUUUUGUGGUAAUGCAGGGGAGGGUUAUAGGGGUGGAUGUCAUGAUAAUGGAUUGUAAAUUUAGAUUAGUGGUGGUGUAUGGGCCACAGGUGGUGGCAGACAGGAGGGAGAUGGUGGACUGUCUGACGCCCCUGUGUGUCCCAAAUAGGAAAUUAGUGAUAGGGGGGAUUUAAAUACAGAUUUAGGAAUAGGGGGGGAUAGCAGUGCAGGCGCCAUUACCGGGCUAAUGGCUUGCCAUGGUCUGGUUGAUGGUGGUCUGCACACUACUCCGAAAAUGGCCAGUCCUACAUGGCGCAACUCCAGGGGGGUUGAGCGGAGGCUCGACUAUAUUUUUUUACCCAGAUCUUUGGGUAAGUUGUCUGGGCGGCUGUUGCCUGUUUUCUUUUCGGAUCACGACGGGGUGCUCCUGCAGGUGGGGUCGCCAGUCUGCCUCUUUGGUAGGGGGUACUUAAGUUAGAUCGGGAUGUGCUGGAGGAGCAGGCUUUUGU